UAGAUCUCUAAUAAGCAAAG
rnacentral:miRNA from 1 species